AGAGAAGAAAUGGAGAAACGAGAAAAGGGGGACGUCGAAUCGAGUCAUGCACUUCUGGUGCAAGUGCAUUGGACGAUGGCGUCAACGGCAUCGCUUCAUGUAAUACAUCGAAGUACGUACAGAUACAACGCUACCCAAAGAGUGGUCAGAAAAAUUAAUUUUUCAUCGACAAAAUGAGAUAAAUUAACUGGCGAAUAAACGCGAUGUUGUUACUUCAAACAUCACUUGGUAGGUGCGUGUACCUAGAAUUUCCCUGCAAAAAAAAAUAAAAUAAAAAGAAUCAAUAAUUAGCGUUAAUGUAUUAUACGUCUUUAGCACACUCGAAACCUUGCUAAAUAUUUAUUGCGCUCAAUAGUAUAUCCAUACCAUAUAUUCCGUUCGCGAAUUGAUUUUUGACUUUUUGUUUUUUCAGUCAAUUCUCGCGUCACCUAAGCAAACCAAAUCUGCAGCUGAGCUUGCGGUUUUCGUUAUCAUUUCCCCACUUCAUUUCUCAUGGAAUCCCAGGUCUUUCCGCACACGCAUAAAGGUAUACCUGU
rnacentral:misc_RNA from 1 species